AAUCCUACGGGGCGCAGCAGUGAGGAAUGUUGGUCAAUGGUCGGGAGACUGAACCAGCCAAGUCGCGUGAGGGAAUAAGGCCCUAUGGGUCGUAAACCUCUUUUGUCAGGGAGCAAAGGCGUCCACGUGUGGACGAGAGGAGAGUACCUGAAGAAAAAGCAUCGGCUAACUCCGUGCCAGCAGCCGCGGUAAUACGGAGGAUGCGAGCGUUAUCCGGAUUUAUUGGGUUUAAAGGGUGCGUAGGCGGAGUGUCAAGUCAGCGGUAAAAUUUCGGGGCUCAAACCCGUCGUGCCGUUGAAACGGAG
rnacentral:rRNA from 1 species